ACAGGUGAGGACACAGAAAGCACCGAAGAGGAAAUCCUUCUUCUGAGAGACGCCAGGACUGCAGCUGACUGGUGUAGCAAGAGAAACUGGGAUGGAAAAAUACAAUUUCCCAUUGUUCUUUCAAUGGAAAAGGAGCAACAAAUUGCAUCCCAAUGCAAAUUGCAGAGCUGGAUGGGUGAAUAUGACGAAAGUUCUCCAGCCGAACUGUUCACUUUUGUAUUUGGGAAACAAAAAGAUUAUGAGGUGUUCUGCACAGAAAUGGAUCAUAAAGCAAAGUACAAAAUCUUCGCCAGAUUUGAGGAAGAAUGAGUCAUCCUUCAGGAUCAUAAAUAAAAAAAUCAAUCAAUGAUAAAAAUACAU